UGGGGAAUUUUGGACAAUGGGCGCAAGCCUGAUCCAGCAAUGCCGCGUGCAGGAUGAAGGCCUUCGGGUUGUAAACUGCUUUUGUACGGAACGAAAAGGCUCUGGCUAAUACCUGGGGCACAUGACGGUACCGUAAGAAUAAGCACCGGCUAACUACGUGCCAGCAGCCGCGGUAAUACGUAGGGUGCGAGCGUUAAUCGGAAUUACUGGGCGUAAAGCGUGCGCAGGCGGUUUUGUAAGACAGAGGUGAAAUCCCCGGGCUCAACCUGGGAACUGCCUUUGUGACUGCAAGGCUGGAGUGCGGCAGAGGGGGAUGGAAUUCCGCGUGUAGCAGUGAAAUGCGUAGAUAUGCGGAGGAACACCGAUGGCGAAGGCAAUCCCCUGGGCCUGCACUGACGCUCAUGCACGAAAGCGUGGGGAGCAAACAGGAUUAGAUACCCUGGUAGUCCACGCCCCUAAACGAUGUCAACUGGCUUGUUGGGGUCUUAAUUGACUCAGU
rnacentral:rRNA from 1 species